rnacentral:rRNA from 1 species
GGACGAUCCGCCACAUUGGGACUGAGACACGGCCCAGACUCCUACGGGAGGCAGCAGUGGGGAAUAUUGGACAAUGGGCGCAAGCCUGAUCCAGCCAUACCGCGUGUGUGAAGAAGGCCCUAGGGUUGUAAAGCACUUUAAGUUGGGAAGAAAAGUUAUUUGGCUAAUACCCAAUGACCGUGACAUUUACCUUCAGAAAUAAGGACCGGCUAAUUUCCGUGCCAGCAGCCGCGGUAAUACGGAAGGUCCAAGCGUUAAUCGGAAUUACUGGGCGUAAAGCGCGCGUAGGUGGUUUAUUAAGUUGGAUGUGAAAUCCCCGGGCUCAACCUGGGAACUGCAUCCAAAACUGAUUCACUAGAGUACGAUAGAGGGAGGUAGAAUUCACAGUGUAGCGGUGGAAUGCGUAGAUAUUGUGAAGAAUACCAAUGGCGAAGGCAGCCUCCUGGAUCUGUACUGACACUGAGGUGCGAAAGCGUGGGUAGCGAACAGGAUUAGAUACCCUGGUAGUCCACGCCGUAAACGAUGUCAACUAGCUGUUGGGGAACUAUGUUCUUCAGUGGCGCAGCUAACGUAGUAAGUUGACCGCCUGGGGAGUACGGCCGCAAGGCUAAAACUCAAAUGAAUUGACGGGGACCCGCACAAGCGGUGGAGCAUGUGGUUUAAUUCGAUGCAACGCGAAAAACCUUACCUAUACUUGACAUACUUGGAAUGCUUUGUAAUGAAGCAGUGCCUUCGGGAGCCAGGAUACAGGUGCUGCAUGGCUGUCGUCAGCUCGUGUCGUGAGGUGUUGGGUUAAGUCCCGCAACGAGCGCAACCCCUAUCUUUAGUUGCCAGCGAGUAAUGUCGGGGACUCUAAAGAAACUGCCUACGCAAGUAGAGAGGAAGGCGGGGACGACGUCAAGUCAUCACGGCCCUUACGUCCUGGGCCACACACGUGCUACAAUGGUUGGUACAGAGGGCAGCUACCGGGUGACCGGAUGCGAAUCUCUAAAGCCAAUCUCAGUUCGGAUUGGAGUCUGCAACUCGACUCUAUGAAGCUGGAAUCGCUAGUAAUCGCGCAUCAGCCAUGGCGCGGUGAAUACGUUCCCGGGCCUUGUACACACCGCCCGUCAAGCCAUGGAAG